CUUUUGUCAACUUUAUGAUCCAGGAAUGUCUUUUCCAGAGCCUGGCAGCCAUCUCUUUGAAAUGUAAACAUCAAGAAAUAGCACCUUUUACCCAGUUUUUCUGGAGAGCAGGAAUCUGACUUCAGUGGGCAACAUGUUUAAAGUUCCAAAAUUACCUUCUGCUAUAAACGUAUGACAAGCUUAUUUCUCCACUAACAAAGCCGAUAAGCUAAUACAGAUGGUCACUCCAAUUGCCAUGUAAGGUUAGGAUGAGCUAUGUGUAGUAAAUUGAACCUUCAAGUCCUCCUACUUAAGGACUAGUUACUGUUUAGCUUAAAAACUUGUAUGUAAUUAGUUGUUUCUGCCUAGAUAAAAGAUUCAGAUUUCUUGCUGUCUUUGCAUCUCUGGGCAGAUGACCAGAGAUCUCUGGGCAGAUGUCUCUGUCUUUGCAUUUCUGGGCAGAUGUCUCUAAUACCUUUAUGGAGAGAUUUUCUGGGUUGUGAGAUGAGUUUGUUUUUUAAUUACAUUUCCUUUAUGUUGUGCACACAUGCACAUGCACUUAUAUACACACACAUUUUGCAUUCAAUAUGUUUCCAAAUUUGUCUUACAUUUCUCUUUAUUAUUUACAGCCUUAAUACUGGCAACUCUGUUCAGUUCUUCCAUUUGCUCUGAUACACUGUGGGGAGAUUCUUCUUGACACCUUCCCAUUUAAGAUCCUUAUGUCAUCUCCAUUCUGGCUGUACACGGGAGCCAGGCAUUAUGCAGCCUUCCAAGAGCACGGUGUUUGUGUCAUGGACUAGCUCAGUAUGCCAUCAGCCUUUCCAUCAGUGGAUAGGUUUACCAAAGAACAAAUUUAAAAGAAUUUGUCCUCUGGAGAAAGUGAAGAGGAAGUCAUCUAUCAAGAGGUACAGUUGUCCCUCAGUAUCUGUGGAGGAUUGGUUCCAGGAUCCUUACAGAUACAAAAAUCUGCAGAUGCUCAAGUCCUUUAUAUAAAAUGGGAUAGGACUUGCAUAUAUCCUAUGCAUAUUCUUUUUCAUACUUUAAAUCAUCCCUAGAUUGCUUAUGAAUCCUUAAUACGAUAUAAAUGCUGGUAAAUACUUGUUGUAGGCCAGGCGCUGUGACUCAUUCCUUUAAUCCCAGUGUUUUAGGAGGCUGAGGCAGGAGGAUUGCUGGAGGCCAGGAGUUUGAGACCAACUUGGAUAACAUAAAAAGACCCUUGUCUCUACAAAAAAUUUAAAAGAAAAUACAUAGGCAUGGUGGUUCAUACCUGUGGUCCCAGCUACUUGGGAGACUGAGGAGGGAGGAGUUUGAGGCUGCAGUAAGUUAUCAUUGCACCACUGCACUGCAGCCUUGGCAACAGAGUAAGAGCCUGACUUUAAAAACAAAAAUAAACAAACAAAGUAGUAGUUGUAUUUUUUUUUAUUUUUAUGUUAUUAUAUUGUUAUUUUAUUUUCUG
rnacentral:lncRNA from 1 species